rnacentral:rRNA from 1 species
UUACUGCUAUCGGUGUUCGCCUAAGCCAUGCGAGUCAUAUGUUCUUCGUGAACAUGGCGUACUGCUCAGUAACACGUGGAUAACCUGCCCUUGGGUCCGGCAUAACCCCGGGAAACUGGGGAUAAUUCCGGAUAACGCACAUAUGCUGGAAUGCUUUAUGCGUAAAAUGGAUUCGUCUGCCCAAGGAUGGGUCUGCGGCCUAUCAGGUAGUAGUGGGUGUAAUGUACCUACUAGCCAACAACGGGUACGGGUUGUGAGAGCAAGAGCCCGGAGAUGGAUUCUGAGACAUGAAUCCAGGCCCUACGGGGCGCAGCAGGCGCGAAAACUUUACAAUGCGGGAAACCGUGAUAAGGGGACACCGAGUGCCAGCGUCAUACGCUGGCUGUCCAGGUGUGUAAAAUACACCUGUUAGCAAGGGCCGGGCAAGACCGGUGCCAGCCGCCGCGGUAACACCGGCGGCCCGAGUGGUGAUCGUGAUUAUUGGGUCUAAAGGGUCCGUAGCCGGUUUGGUCAGUCCUCCGGGAAAUCUGAUAGCUCAACUAUUAGGCUUUCGGGGGAUACUGCCAGACUUGGAACCGGGAGAGGUAAGAAGUACUACAGGGGUAGGAGUGAAAUCUUGUAAUCCCUGUGGGACCACCUGUGGCGAAGGCGUCUUACCAGAACGGGUUCGACGGUGAGGGACGAAAGCUGGGGGCACGAACCGGAUUAGAUACCCGGGUAGUCCCAGCCGUAAACGAUGCUCGCUAGGUGUCAGGCAUGGCGCGACCGUGUCUGGUGCCCCAGGGAAGCCGUGAAGCGAGCCACCUGGGAAGUACGGCCGCAAGGCUGAAACUUAAAGGAAUUGGCGGGGGAGCACAACAACGGGUGAGCCUGCGGUUUAA